UACGUAGGGACCAAGCGUUGUUCGGAUUUACUGGGCGUAAAGGGCGCGUAGGCGGCCUGUUAAGUCGAACGUGAAAUCCCCGGGCUCAACCCGGGAACUGCGUCCGAUACUGGCAGGCUUGAAUCCGGGAGAGGGAUGCGGAAUUCCAGGUGUAGCGGUGAAAUGCGUAGAUAUCUGGAGGAACACCGGUGGCGAAGGCGGCAUCCUGGACCGACACUGACACUGAGGAGCGAAAGCCAGGGGAGCAAACGGG
rnacentral:rRNA from 1 species